rnacentral:rRNA from 1 species
UACAGAGGGUGCGAGCGUUGUCCGGAAUCACUGGGCGUAAAGGGCGCGUAGGCGGCGACCCAAGUCGGUGGUGAAAGCUCGCCGCUCAACGGCGAGUCGGCCACCGAUACUGGGUUGCUUGAGCACUGUAGAGGCUAAUGGAAUUCCGGGUGUAGCGGUGGAAUGCGUAGAGAUCCGGAAGAACACCGGUGGCGAAGGCGGUUAGCUGGGCAGUUGCUGACGCUGAGGCGCGACAGCGUGGGGAGCAAACGGG